ACUCCUACGGGAGGCAGCAGUUAGGAAUAUUCGGCAAUGGGGGAAACCCUGACCGAGCGACACUGCGUGAAGGAGGAAGGCCUUAGGGUUGUAAACUUCUGAACGAGAGACGAUAAUGACGGUAUCUCGGUAAUAGCACCGGCUAACUCCGUGCCAGCAGCCGCGGUAAUACGGAGGGUGCGAGCGUUAUCCGGAAUCACUGGGCGUAAAGCGCAUGCAGGUGGUUUGUUAAGUCAGAUGUGAAAGCCCCGGGCUCAACCUGGGAAUUGCAUUUGAAACUGGCAAACUAGAGUACUGUAGAGGGGGUAGAAUUUCAGGUGUAGCGGUGAAAUGCGUAGAGAUCUGAAGGAAUACCAGUGGCGAAGGCGGCCCCCUGGACAGAUACUGACACUCAGAUGCGAAAGCGUGGGGAGCAAACAGGAUUAGAUACCCUGGUAGGUC
rnacentral:rRNA from 1 species